UAGUUGGCCGGUGCUUCUUCUGUACCUACCGUCACUUGCGCUUCGUCGGUACUGAAAGAGGUUACAACCGAAGGCCGUCAUCCCUCACGCGGCGUUGCUGGAUCAGGCUUCCGCCCAUUGUCCAAUAUUCCCC
rnacentral:rRNA from 1 species